rnacentral:rRNA from 1 species
GAUGAACGCUGGCUACNGGCUUAACACAUGCAAGUCGAGGGGAAACGACGGGGAAGCUUGCUUCCCCGGGCGUCGACCGGCGCACGGGUGAGUAACGCGUAUCCAACCUGCCUCUGACUGAGGGAUAACCCGUCGAAAGUCGGCCUAAUACCUCAUGGCAUCGUCUGCGGGCAUCCAACGACGAUUAAAGAUUUCAUCGGUCAGAGAUGGGGAUGCGUCUGAUUAGCUUGUUGGCGGGGUAACGGCCCACCAAGGCAACGAUCAGUAGGGGUUCUGAGAGGAAGGUCCCCCACAUUGGAGCUGAGACACGGUCCAAACUCCUACGGGAGGCAGCAGUGAGGAAUAUUGGUCAAUGGGCGAGAGCCUGAACCAGCCAAGUAGCGUGCAGGAUGACGGCCCUAUGGGUUGUAAACUGCUUUUAUGCGGGGAUAAAGUGAGGGACGUGUCCUUCAUUGCAGGUACCGCAUGAAUAAGGACCGGCUAAUUCCGUGCCAGCAGCCGCGGUAAUACGGAAGGUCCGGGCGUUAUCCGGAUUUAUUGGGUUUAAAGGGAGCGUAGGCCGUGGAUUAAGCGUGUUGUGAAAUGCAGGUGCUCAACGUCUGCACUGCAGCGCGAACUGGUUCACUUGAGUGUGCGCAACGCAGGCGGAAUUCGUCGUGUAGCGGUGAAAUGCUUAGAUAUGACGAAGAACUCCGAUUGCGAAGGCAGCUUGCGGGAGCACAACUGACGCUGAAGCUCGAAAGUGCGGGUAUCGAACAGG